CCUACGGGGGUCAGCAGUGAGGAAUAUUGGUCAAUGGGCGGGAGCCUGAACCCGCCAAGUCGCGUGAGGGAAGACGGUCCUCUGGAUUGUAAACCUCUUUAGGCGGGGAGCAAUGCCGGGCACGCGUGCCCGGAGGGAGAGUACCCGCCGAAUCAGCAUCCGCUAACUCCGUGCCAGCAGCCGCGGUAAUACGGAGGAGGCGAGCGUUAUUCGGAUUUAUUGGGUUUAAAGGGUGCUUCUGCGGAGUUUUGAGUCAGCGGUAAAAUGUCCGGGCUCAAUCCGGGCCGGCCGUUGAAACUGGGGAGCUUGAGUGGGCGAGAAGUAUGCGGAAUGCGUGGUGUAGCGGUGAAAUGCAUAGAUAUCACGCAGAACUCCGAUUGCGAAGGCAGCAUACCGGCGCCCGACUGACGCUGAGGCACGAAAGCGUGGGGAUCGAACAGGAUUAGAUACCCUAGUAGUC
rnacentral:rRNA from 1 species